AUGAAGAGCAGGGGGCCCACACCCUUUCCACGAGGGUGGGGGGCGCCCCUCCCCCACCCUAGGGCGCGCCCCCUACCUCGUGGGCCCCCUGGUGGCUCUCCGAUGACCAUCUUCUCCUAUAUGAAGUCCUUCGUCGAGAAAAAAAGAAGAAGCAACCUUUCGGGACGAAACUCCGCCGCCACGAGGCGGAACCUUGGCGGAUCCAAUCUAGAGCUCCGGCAGAGCUGUUCUGCCGGGGAAACUUCCCUCUCGGAGGGGGGAAUCGUCGCCAUCGUCAUCACCAACGCUCCUCUCAUCGGGAGAGGGUAA
rnacentral:rRNA from 1 species